rnacentral:rRNA from 1 species
UACGGAUGGGGCGAGCGUUAUUCGGAAUUAUUGGGCGUAAGGGCCCGUAGGCCGCCCGGGUAGGCAAAGGUGAAAUCCCUCGGCUCAACUGAGGAACUGCCUUUGAAACUGUCGGGCUUGAGGCCGGGAGGGGGUAGCGGAAUUCCCAGUGUAGCGGUGAAAUGCGUAGAUAUUGGGAGGAACACCGGUGGCGAAGGCGGCUACCUGGACCGGUUCUGACGCUGAGGUGCGAAAGCGUGGGGAGCAAACAGG